GACGAACGCUGGCGGCGUGCUUAACACAUGCAAGUCGAACGGAAAGGCCCUGCUUUUGUGGGGUGCUCGAGUGGCGAACGGGUGAGUAACACGUGAGUAACCUGCCCUUGACUUUGGGAUAACUUCAGGAAACUGGGGCUAAUACCGGAUAGGAGCUCCUGCUGCAUGGUGGGGGUUGGAAAGUUUCGGCGAUUGGGGAUGGACUCGCGGCUUAUCAGCUUGUUGGUGGGGUAGUGGCUUACCAAGGCUUUGACGGGUAGCCGGCCUGAGAGGGUGACCGGCCACAUUGGGACUGAGAUACGGCCCAGACUCCUACGGGAGGCAGCAGUGGGGAAUAUUGCACAAUGGGCGGAAGCCUGAUGCAGCAACGCCGCGUGCGGGGUGACGGCCUUCGGGUUGUAAACCGCUUUCGCCUGUGACGAAGCGUGAGUGACGGUAAUGGGUAAAGAAGCACCGGCUAACUACGUG
rnacentral:rRNA from 1 species